GUUUCUAUGGUGUAUAAACGCACAUUAGAUUUUCAUUCUAAAGGAAUAAAAUUAUUUUAUUAGAAAUA
rnacentral:tRNA from 1 species